CUUCCCUCCUGGGUUUUGCCACUAGCAAAGCUAAACUGGCCAUAGCUCACAAGCACAGUUUCGCUUUGUAAGUAAGGACGACUAGAGAAGGGUCAGUCUGCCAAGAUGUGCUAAUUAGCCAGCUUACCCUUGGUAACUUCACAUCGGAAGUUGAUAAAGACAGAUUUGCAAUAUGCAUUACGCUGGUAUAUACUCAGCGGGCGCGACCCACGCUAACAAUGACUUUCACACCUCUGCUAGCGACUUGAUAUAAAAAUGGCAAACAACCAAAGACUACUACCCGUAGUUGAAAUAAGGCACUGAUGAGGGAUGUAGCUAUUCGAUAUGUUAGUGUAGAAGGACUCAUGGACCCGGUGAUCGGGCAGGCGUGCUUGAUGAAACCUCAAAAGUGAUAGCCCUAGCUUGAGGUUCGCUAGAAGUGGUCCGACUAUUUCCCAAUACCUUUCAUUUGUAUGAGUAAUUUAUGACAACCAAAUAUAAGGUAUAGUAUGGUAUGGUAGUAUGUUGCAUUUCAUGUUUGACUGGGAAGGUCAAAUUCUUGGUUAGUGGCAUGCAAUAAGGAGGAGCACAUAUAUAAGAGGUAAAGAUAUGUACAUCUGCCAUCAUAUAGGUAGCUUGAUAAUGUUGGUCAGCCCAGUUAUGAAACUAGAGGAUAUACCAUGUGUUUCUGCGAGAAUUGGUUGACGAAAAUUCGGGUCGAUAAUAGGAGAAUAAAAAUUUAAACUACAUAUCACUCAUUAUAUUUGAUUAUGUAUAGUUGUAACAAUAUUCUUGAAUAUAAGUAGAAUAAUUGAAUGGGAACAUUUUCCCAUGCAUGGUACAGUGGUGUAGUUGGUCUUUUUCCGUUGCAUGUUGAGGUGAGCCUUUAAUUCUUCCUCUGUGUUAGUUUCUUUAAUACUUGUUAUUUAAAAUUGAGAACAUAUUUUCUGUCGACAACAAAAACACAGGAAAUAGUAGACCACACAUAUUACACUGUUGGCUUGGAGUUUAAUUGGGAAGAGAAGAAUAUCUUGUCUCCUUCGUCAGUGAUGAUCAGUCUUUAAGUUGCAAAAUCAGACUGUGCUAGUGAAUAUCAGCUGCAAUAUUUGACAAAUUGCAGUGUUACAAGGCUGAUAAAUGACAAUUUACUAGAUUGACAAAUGGCAAUGAUUCUAAUUUCACAAAUGGCAACAUAUAAAAUAUGACUGAUCCAAAUCUUACCAAAUAGUCUAUAGGAGCAAACAUGUCAUUACACAAAAAACGUUUAAUGAUAAACAUAUGGU
rnacentral:lncRNA from 1 species